UACGGAGGGUGCAAGCGUUGCUCGGAAUUAUUGGGCGUUAAAGGGUAGGUAGGUGGUCUCAUUUGUCUGGGGUGAAGGCCUUGAGCUUAACUCAAGAAGUGCCCCAGAAACGGUGAGACUAGAGUCUUGGAGAGGGUCGUGGAAUUCCCGGUGUAGCGGUGAAAUGCGUAGAGAUCGGGAGGAACACCAGAGGCGAAGGCGGCAUCCUGGACCGGCAUUGACGCUGAGGCGCGAAAGCUAGGGGAGCAAACGGG
rnacentral:rRNA from 1 species